rnacentral:rRNA from 1 species
AUUGAACGCUGGCGGCAUGCCUUACACAUGCAAGUCGAACGGCAGCACGGGUGCUUGCACCUGGUGGCGAGUGGCGAACGGGUGAGUAAUACAUCGGAACAUGUCCUGUAGUGGGGGAUAGCCCGGCGAAAGCCGGAUUAAUACCGCAUACGAUCUACGGAUGAAAGCGGGGGACCUUCGGGCCUCGCGCUAUAGGGUUGGCCGAUGGCUGAUUAGCUAGUUGGUGGGGUAAAGGCCUACCAAGGCGACGAUCAGUAGCUGGUCUGAGAGGACGACCAGCCACACUGGGACUGAGACACGGCCCAGACUCCUACGGGAGGCAGCAGUGGGGAAUUUUGGACAAUGGGCGAAGGCCUGAUCCAGCAAUGCCGCGUGUGUGAAGAAGGCCUUCGGGUUGUAAAGCACUUUUGUCCGGAAAGAAAUCCUUGGCCCUAAUACGGUCGGGGGAUGACGGUACCGGAAGAAUAAGCACCGGCUAACCACGUG